AACGUAGGAAGCGAGCGUUAUCCGGAUUUACUGGGCGUAAAAGAGCGCGCAGGGCGGCUUGGUCAAGUCCGAUGUGAAAAGCCCCCCGGCUCAACUGGGGGAGGGGUCACGCGAUACUGAUCGACUCGAAGGCAGGAGAGGGUAGUGGAAUUCCCGGUGUAGUGGUGAAAUGCGUAGAUAUCGGGAGGAACACCAGUGGCGAAGGCGACUACCUGGCCUGUUUCUUGACGCUGAGGCGGCGAAAGCUAGGGGAGCAAACGGG
rnacentral:rRNA from 1 species